UACGGAGGGGGCUAGCGUUGUUCGGAAUUACUGGGCGUAAAGCGCACGUAGGCGGACUGUUAAGUCAGGGGUGAAAUCCCAAGGCUCAACCUUGGAACUGCCUUUGAUACUGGCAGUCUCGAGUGCGGGAGAGGUGAGUGGAAUUCCCAGUGUAGAGGUGAAAUUCGUAGAUAUUGGGAAGAACACCAGUGGCGAAGGCGGCUCACUGGCCCGUAACUGACGCUGAGGUGCGAAAGCGUGGGGAGCAAACAGGG
rnacentral:rRNA from 1 species